UGCAGUCGAGCGGAGAUGAGGUGCUUGCACCUUAUCUUAGCGGCGGACGGGUGAGUAAUGCUUAGGAAUCUGCCUAUUAGUGGGGGACAACAUUCCGAAAGGAAUGCUAAUACCGCAUACGCCCUACGGGGGAAAGCAGGGGAUCUUCGGACCUUGCGCUAAUAGAUGAGCCUAAGUCGGAUUAGCUAGUUGGUGGGGUAAAGGCCUACCAAGGCGACGAUCUGUAGCGGGUCUGAGAGGAUGAUCCGCCACACUGGGACUGAGACACGGCCCAGACUCCUACGGGAGGCAGCAGUGGGGAAUAUUGGACAAUGGGCGGAAGCCUGAUCCAGCCAUGCCGCGUGUGUGAAGAAGGCCUUUUGGUUGUAAAGCACUUUAAGCGAGGAGGAGGCUACUUAGAUUAAUACUCUAGGAUAGUGGACGUUACUCGCAGAAUAAGCACCGGCUAACUCUGUGCCAGCAGCCGCGGUAAUACAGAGGGUGCGAGCGUUAAUCGGAUUUACUGGGCGUAAAGCGUGCGUAGGCGGCUGAUUAAGUCGGAUGUGAAAUCCCUGAGCUUAACUUAGGAAUUGCAUUCGAUACUGGUCAGCUAGAGUAUGGGAGAGGAUGGUAGAAUUCCAGGUGUAGCGGUGAAAUGCGUAGAGAUCUGGAG
rnacentral:rRNA from 1 species